rnacentral:rRNA from 1 species
UGCGGUUAUACAAAAAUUAAAUUAAUUUUUUUUUAGGAUUUAAUAAAUAAAAGUUAAAUUAAUAAUUUAAAUUUUAAAUUAUAAGGUGAAAUUUUAAUUUAAUUAAAAUUUAUUUAUUUUUAUGACAUUAAUAAAUUUUAUAAAAAACUAGGAUUAGAUACCCUAUUAUAAAAAUUUAAAUUUAAUAAUCUUAAAAUAGUAUAUAAUUUUUUAUAGAAACUUAAAUAAUUUGGCGGUAUUUUAGUUCAUUUAGAGGAAUCUGUCUAAUAAUUGAUAAUCCACGAUUAAAUUUACUUAAUUUUUAAUUUUGUAUAUCGUUGUUAAAAAAAUAUUUUUAAAUAAUUAUAAUAUUUUAAAAUUUAAAUAAAAAAUUAAAUCAGAUCAAGAUGCAGAUUAUAAUUAAGAAUAUGAUGGAUUACAAUAAAAUUUAUUUUUUGGAUAUUAAUUUGAAAUAAAUUAGUUGAAAUUGGAUUUAAAUGUAAUUUUAUUAAUUUUAAUAAAAUGAUUUUAAAUUAAAAUAUGUACAUAUUGCCCGUCGCUUUCAUUUAUAAAUUGAAAUAAGUCGUAACAAAGUAGAAGUACUGGAAAGUGUUUCUAGAAAGAU